GAUGAACGCUAGCGGCAGGCUUAACACAUGCAAGUCGAGGGGUAGAAGGAGCUUGCUCCUUUGAGACCGGCGCACGGGUGCGUAACGCGUAUGCAAUCUACCUUGUACAGGGGGAUAGCCCAGAGAAAUUUGGAUUAAUACCCCAUAGUGUAACGAAAAGGCAUCUUUUUGUUACUAAAGUUCCAACGGUACAAGAUGAGCAUGCGUCCCAUUAGCUAGUUGGUGUGGUAACGGCACACCAAGGCAACGAUGGGUAGGGGUACUGAGAGGGAGAUCACCCAAACUGGUACUGAGACACGGACCAGACUCCUACGGGAGGCAGCAGUGAGGAAUAUUGGUCAAUGGGCGCAAGCCUGAACCAGCCAUGCCGCGUGCAGGAUGACGGUCCUAUGGAUUGUAAACUGCUUUUGUACAGGAAGAAACACUCCCUCGUGAGGGAACUUGACGGUACUGUAAGAAUAAGGAUCGGCUAACUCCGUGCCAGCAGCCGCCGUAAUAC
rnacentral:rRNA from 1 species